GGGGAUUUAGCUCAGUGGUAGAGCGCUUGCCUAGCAAACGCAAGGCCCUGGGUUCGGUCCCCAGCUCCCA
rnacentral:tRNA from 1 species